UUCAAUCAGAGCCCAAAGGUCCAAAAAGACCAGUGCCCCAGCUUGACUGUCACAUAUGAACAGUUCCUUCUUACAUAUUUUUUGUUCUAUUCAGGUCUUUCUUGACUGGAUGGGUCCUACCCACACUGGAGUGGGUGGACAGGGAAUCUCUUUUACUCAGUCUACCCAUUCAAAUGUUAAUCUCAUCCAAAUACAUAGACACACCCAGAAUGAUGUUAGACCAAAUGUCUGGGCACUCUGUGGCUCCGUCAGGUUGACACAGAAAAUUAAUCAUCACUGGCUGAGGGGGUAAAAAAUUUGCUAAAAGGCACAUAGAGGUGAAUGAAUGUAUUUCUAUGUCUCAAAGCUUGAAUCUUUCCCUUGCACCUCAUUGGCCCUUAUGAUUUCCUAAGUUGUCCUUCUGUGUGGAACAGUAUAUAUUUUAAUAAUGUGAUUUCUUUUUUUUUUCCUAAAGACUUUAGGAGUUACCCAGCAACUUUAUUUCUUGCUAUUCCCCAGUGUGCAAAUUCCGACUCAUUUAAGCUUAUGUCAUUGUCUGUUACGUAUUUAUGAUCAAUUGUAUACCCAUGACUGUGAGUCAUAUUACUUUAACAUGCUAUGGAAACCUCUACCCUGCUUUUAGAUCUGUCAUCCAUCUAUGAUCACCUGAACUUUUUUAAAGCGCUGACCAAAUGUUGGAAACUGGCAAAUACUGAUAAAAUAGAGAUCUAUCAUUCUGCUUUCUGUACCUGGAGACUGACCUGCAUAGACUACAUCAUCAAGACUGCCCUCUGACUUCUGGCUGCAUAAGGACAUUAGGAAGACUUGGCAGAAAUUAGAAGGAAAGAAGAGUGUCAGAUCUGAGUGUUAAUUCCCUGGCUUCAUCAAAGGACACUGGUCUUCAUGAGAAGGCAGACUCUCCGUGAUUCUCCUUUUGGGUUCCAAUAAAUACUCCCCUCUUCUAUCUGUGAGGCUUAGGGGUUAUAAGAACUCAGCAGCUAAGAUUUCCAAGUUCUUUGUGGCUCCUCCAUAUCCAUAUCUUUGAUGAUAGGCCCUUUGUAAAUAAAUUCUUCUUGAAUUCUAGGGUGAAUGGGUUACCAUUUCUCUUGGAACCCUGGCUGAUACAUCAUGGAAUCUUCAAAAAAAUCCUAUCAAAAAUAUACCAUUAUUGCCCCAUUUUAAAAAUGAAGACAGUAGAUGGGCUUCAGGAGUUUGCUGAAAAUCACUCCUCUUGUGAGUAGAGUAGCUGGGAUUAGAACCCUGGAAGUCCAGCUUUUGAAAUCAUGCCCUUAAUCACCACAUUAAACCUUAAUGAACAAUCCUUGUUCUGAAUGAAUCCCCUACCUACAACAACCUAGUUCAAGUCCCUUUUCCACAGAAACCUUCCCAUUUUGUUUGACCACGAUUGUUUUAUGAUUCCUAACUCUCAAAUUGAGAGUCAUCCUCAAAUCUUAUGUAUAUACACUUGUUCUAUGGUCCCAGAAAGAGCUUAUUUGUUGUGAGGGGGUAGAGACCACUGGUUCCCUUUUUCACUUCUGAGCAAGUAGCUCAAUCCUAGGAACAGGGCACAUUCUUUAUUUUUUAUUUUUUUAAAAUGUUUAUUUAUUUUUGAAGGGGAGAGAGAUAGAAUGUGAGUGGGGGAGGGGCAGAGAGAGAGGGAGACACAGAAUCCGAAACGGGCUCCAGGCUCUGAGCUGUCAGCAUAGGGCCUGAUGCAGGGCUCAAACUCAUGAGCCAUGAGAUCAUGACCUGAGCCAAAGGGGGUGACUUAACCAACUGAGCCACCCAGGCACUCCAGAACAUGGCACAUUCUUAAUAAAUAUUUGCUGAUUGAUUCAAAAGUUUACUUACACUCUAUAAAUAAAUAACACAACAAGGAAUAUUUUCUUGAAAGUGUCAGAAUAUGGAAAGAAGUAGGCCGAUAAAGUUGAGUGGCAAAAUCAUGGGUCUGGAGGCUCUUCCAACUCUUCUUUUCCAGCAAUGUGACUUUGAAGGAGCCAUUUAACUUUUUUGGGCCUAUUUCUGUGAAGGUAACUACCAUGUUGUGUCUCCGGUGUCUAACAUGAAUCUUGGCAUCAAUUAGACACUUGGAAAAUAUGUUUUAAACGAAUGAAUAAAUGUGUAUUUUUUAAAGUAAACCUUACCCCAUGGUUUCCAUAUUUCCCAUACCCAGUUUCCCCUAUUAUUAACAUCUUCCUUUAGCAUGGCACAUUUGUUAUAAUUAAUGAUUAAUUAUUUAUUAUUAAUGAUUAAUAAUUCACUAUGAUUAUGAACUAACAUUUAAGCUUUAUUAAAAUUUCCUUCAUUUUCACUUAAUGUCCUUUUUGUUGUCAUUGUUACAGGUGCCUGUCAGGAUACUACAUUACAUUUCAUUGUCAUGACUCAGACUUUUUUUGUUCUUGAAGACCUUGACUGUUUGGAGUGGUAUUGGUCAGGUGUUUUGUAGGAUGUUGCUCUUUUGGGAUUUGUCUGAUGUUUUUCUCAUGAUUAUAGUGGGGUUGUGGGUAUUUUCAUUACAUUGCAUCAAGGCCACAUACUAUCAACCUGACUUAUCACGUUGUUAUUGACCCUGAUCAUUGUUGCUGAGGUAAUGUUUGUCAGGUUUCUUCACUGUAAAGUUUUCUUCCUUUCUAUACUGUUGAAGAAAGUCACCAUGCUCAACUCAUACUCAGGGAAUGGGAGUUAUAGUCUACCUUCCUGAAGCAAAGUACCUACAUAAGUUAUAUGGAAUUCUUCCACAUUAUUUGUCUCUUAUUCCCCAUUAAUUCAAUCCUUUAUUGUUAUCAGUGUGGAUUCCUGGAUAUUUAUUUUAUACUUUGGGUGAUAAUCCAAUACUACUGUAUUUUAUCACUCAUAUUGUUCCAGCUUUGACCAUUCAGAGCUCUUUUGAUUAGCUCUUGGAUCUCUUUGACAUAUCCCCAUCAUUGUGGUUUGAUUUUUUUCCCCCUAGAAUUCCCAUACUUUCUGGAAAUUUAUGAUGCUCUAAGCUCAUUUUGUAUAUUUCCUGUUUCAAUCUUAGAAUCAACCAUUUCUCCAAGGAGCCCUGUUUCCUUUCAUUGGAAAUGGUAUUAGAAACCAAGAUUUGAGCACAGGGUAUACUCAAUGAGAGUAAGGAAUGGAAUAAGGAAUAGCAAAUGUUUCCCAAAUAAGGGUCCCAUGCCCCCAAAAAACCCAAAAUGAUUUGUGGUGCCUCGAAGGUGCUGUCCACUGGAUGACAUGGAGAAGGUGUUUAUACCUUUACACCUUUAUACCUUCUUACCUUUACUUUCUUGUAAUCUUUAUGUUCAAAGAGAAAAUUUUCAUUUGAUCCUGGCAACAUCAGAUUUGGGAAUUUACUUCUCUAGCAAAGUGAGUAGACCUCAGACAUUGAACUUCAAGCAAGCAAAAACAUCUAACUAGAAUAUAACAAUAUUAUUUUGUCUUGCUUGUGUUCAUUUAUAUUAUCAUCUUCAAUUUACGGAAAAAUUCAACUAGUCCAUUUCUAAUAGCAGUGUAUAUUUUUUCCUCUUAAAAGAUGCUAAGUAAAAAAUGUAAAUAAAUUUAUAGAAAAAAGUAGCAUGUCAGUGGUUGAUAUAAUGUGGAGGAAAUGGAGAGUAAAUAAUUUGAGUUUGGAAACAAUUUAGAAGGAAUAAUCUUGAGAAUCUCUUACAGCUCUAGAAUUUGAUAUCUAUGUCAGCCAGCAUUUGUGAUCUCACACCCAUAGCUGUGUGCAAUUUGUGAGAGAGGGAAUAUUUUGAAUCUGAAUCACAGAAGGAAAGAGAGGACACUGUUGAGAACAUUGAAAUGCAUACAGUCAUUUUCUUGCAGUUGUUCUUAGCCCUGGAUCUAUCAGCCCUAACAACCAGGCGCUGGCAGAGGGUCAGGUGAGAAAUGCUGGGUAGUACCUCAAGGGAGCUGAGACCUUGAGAUCAGAGAACUACAAACCAACGGGAAAGUUGAUUCUAGUAGCAUCAAUGGAUAUCCUCAAAAUGCUCAUGAAAAAUGAAAAUAUAAAGCAAAUAAUUGUGACAAGCAUAUUGUCUAAUUAAGAUGAAUGGGACAUGCUUCUUAUGCAUUUUUAAUCUGUUAAAUAAACAGCAUAUUAAUAAGGCUUAAUUAUAGCACCACAUACUUAAAGUGACUUUCUAAAAUAAAGUUUGUUUUGAUUUAA